rnacentral:rRNA from 1 species
AUUGAACGCUGGCGGCAGGCUUAACACAUGCAAGUCGAGCGAGCGGCGGACGGGUGAGUAAUGACCGGGAAACUGCUUGAUGGAGGUGGAUAACUACUGUCAUCGGUAGCUAAUACCGCAUACCAUCAAUUGUUCCCAGAUGGGAUUAGCUCGUAGGUGGGGUACUGGCUCACCUAGGCCACGAUCCCUAGCUGGUCUGAGCGGAUAACCGGCCACACUGGAACUGAAACACGUGCCAGACGCCGACGGGAGGCAGCAGUGGGGAAUAUUGGACAAUGGGCGCAAGCCUGAUGCAGCCAUGCCGCGUGUGUGAAGAAGGCCUUCGGGUUGUAAAGCACUUUCAGCGAGGAGGCGUUACUCGCAGAAGAAGCACCGGCUAACGCCGUGCCAGCAGCCGCGGUAAUUC